rnacentral:rRNA from 1 species
UACGUAGGGUGCGAGCGUUGUCCGGAAUUAUUGGGCGUAAAGGGCUCGUAGGCGGUUUGUUGCGUCGGAAGUGAAAACUCAGGGCUUAACCCUGAGCCUGCUUCCGAUACGGGCAGACUAGAGGUAUGCAGGGGAGAACGGAAUUCCUGGUGUAGCGGUGAAAUGCGCAGAUAUCAGGAGGAACACCGGUGGCGAAGGCGGCAUCCUGGACCGAUACUGACACUGAGGAGCGAAAGCCAGGGGAGCAAACGGG